GGAGGAAAGCAGGGGAUCGUAAGACCUCGCGCUAUUGGAGUGGCCGAUGUCCGAUUAGCUAGUUGGUGGGGUAAUGGCCCACCAAGGCGACGAUCGGUAGCUGGUCUGAGAGGAUGAUCAGCCACACUGGGACUGAGACACGGCCCAGACUCCUACGGGAGGCAGCAGUGGGGAAUUUUGGACAAUGGGGGCAACCCUGAUCCAGCCAUGCCGCGUGAGUGAAGAAGGCCUUCGGGUUGUAAAGCUCUUUCGGCCGGAACGAAAUCGUGCGGGCUAAUACCCCGCAUGGAUGACGGUACCGGAAGAAGAAGCACCGGCUAACUACGUGCCAGCAGCCGCGGUAAUACGUAGGGUGCAGGCGUUAAUCGGAAUUACUGGGCGUAAAGCGUGCGCAGGCGGCUUCUCAAGUCAGAUGUGAAAUCCCCGGGCUUAACCUGGGAACUGCGUUUGAAACUACAAAGCUAG
rnacentral:rRNA from 1 species